GAUGAAGAACGCAGCGAAAUGCGAUACGUAAUGUGAAUUGCAAAUUCAGUGAGUCAUCGAGUCUUUGAACGCACAUUGCGCCCCCUGGUAUUCCGGGGGGCAUGCCUGUCCGAGCGUCAUUGCUGCCCUCAAGCACGGCUUGUGUGUUGGGCCCCGUCCUCCGAUCCCGGGGGACGGGCCCGAAAGGCAGCGGCGGCACCGCGUCCGGUCCUCGAGCGUAUGGGGCUUUGUCACCCGCUCUGUAGGCCCGGCCGGCGCUUGCCGAUCAACCCAAAUUUUUAUCCAGGUUGACCUCGGAUCAGGUAGGGAUACCCGCUGAACUUAAGCAUAUCAAUAAGCGGAGGA
rnacentral:misc_RNA from 1 species